UUGGGUUGUAAAGCUCUUUCGUCGGGGAAGAAAAUGACUGUACCCGAAUAAGAAGGUCCGGCUAACUUCGUGCCAGCAGCCGCGGUAAUACGAAGGGACCUAGCGUAGUUCGGAAUUACUGGGCUUAAAGAGUUCGUAGGUGGUUGAAAAAGUUAGUGGUGAAAUCCCAGAGCUUAACUCUGGAACUGCCAUUAAAACUUUUCAGCUAGAGUAUGAUAGAGGAAAGCAGAAUUUCUAGUGUAGAGGUGAAAUUCGUAGAUAUUAGAAAGAAUACCAAUUGCGAAGGCAGCUUUCUGGAUCAUUACUGACACUGAGGAACGAAAGCAUGGGUAGCGAAGAGGAUUAGAUACCCUCGUAGUCCAUGCCGUAAACGAUGUGUGUUAGACGUUGGAAAUUUAUUUUCAGUGUCGCAGGGAAACCGAUAAACACACCGCCUGGGGAGUACGACCGCAAGGUUAAAACUCAAAUGAAUUGACGGGGACCCGCACAAGUAGUGGAGCAUGUGGUUUAAUUCGAAGAUACGCGCAGAACCUUACCAACACUUGACAUGUUCGUCGCGACUUUAAGAGAUUAAAGUUUUCGGUUCGGCCGGACGAAACACAGGUGCUGCAUGGCUGUCGUCAGCUCGUGUCGUGAGAUGUUGGGUUAAGUCCCGCAACGAGCGCAACCCUCACUUUUAGUUGCCAUCAUUAAGUUGGGCACUCUGAAAGAACUGCCAGUGAUAAGCUGGAGGAAGGUGGGGAUGACGUCAAGUCCUCAUGGCCCUUACGUGUUGGGCUACACACGUGCUACAAUGGUAUCUACAACAGGAAGCAAAACCGCGAGGUUAAGCAAAUCCCUAAAAGAUACCUCAGUUCGGAUUGCACUCUGCAACUCGAGUGCAUGAAGCUGGAAUUACUAGUAAUCGUGGAUCAGCGUGCCACGGUGAA
rnacentral:rRNA from 1 species